AUUGAACGCUGGCGGCAGGCUUAACACAUGCAAGUCGAGCGGAGCGAGGGUGCUUGCACCUUAGCUUAGCGGCGGACGGGUGAGUAAUGCUUAGGAAUCUGCCUAUUAGUGGGGGACAACAUUCCGAAAGGGAUGCUAAUACCGCAUACGCCCUACGGGGGAAAGCAGGGGAUCUUCGGACCUUGCGCUAAUAGAUGAGCCUAGGUCGGAUUAGCUAGUUGGUGGGGUAAAGGCCUACCAAGGCGACGAUCUGUAGCGGGUCUGAGAGGAUGAUCCGCCACACUGGGACUGAGACACGGCCCAGACUCCUACGGGAGGCAGCAGUGGGGAAUAUUGGACAAUGGGCGGAAGCCUUAUCCAGCCAUGCCGCGUGUGUGAAGAAGGCCUUUUGGUUGUAAAGCACUUUAAGCGAGGAGGAGGCUACUAGUAUUAAUACUACUGGAUAGUGGACGUUACUCGCAGAAUAAGCACCGGCUAACUCUGUGCCAGCAGCCGCUGUAACAC
rnacentral:rRNA from 1 species